CAUAUAUUGUUUUGAGUUCUGUGACUUAAUCAUGCUGAAUACACGAAAAAAGGCUUGCAGCUUUAAAGUCUUACUACACAGACCAGCUAAGAAUGGAGUUUUAAGUUUUUAAUAACUGAGAACAAGUAAAGCUUUGUGAAACAUGAGUUAUUCACAAUUGGACGCGUUAUUUCCGUAAAUUUUAGGAUUUGACGAUGAAGAGUUUAAAAUAUUUGUUUAGGCUCUAAUGUGUUUGUGAUAUUAAGGACUUAUCAAUUGUUGAAAUAUUAUUCAUCAUUUUUAUACGCUAUUAUGAAUUUUAAAAUCAGAAGCUGCUUGAGGGUUUUAGAGAUGUGUUGUGAAGUGGGAGAAAUAUUUUCGCGUUGAUAAGUGUU